ACUCGGCGUUCUCUUCAAUUGUGUCGAAUAAAUCUUUCGCCUUUUACUAAAGAUUCCCCUGGAGAGGAACAAACCAAAAAAUAAUAAUUACACCAAGCAAGUUUUGUUUCAUUUUUU